CCGGGACUGCAUUGGAAACUGUCAAUCUAGAGUACCGGAGAGGUAAGCGGAAUUCCUAGUGUAGCGGUGAAAUGCGUAGAUAUUAGGAGGAACACCAGUGGCGAAGGCGGCUUACUGGACGGUAACUGACGUUGAGGCUCGAAAGCGUGGGGAGCAAACAGGAUUAGAUACCCUGUUAGUCCACCCCGUAACGGAUGAUUAUUAGGUGUGGGGCGGCAAAGUUGUUCGGUGCGCCGCCAAAGCCAAUAGUUAUUCCACUCGGGGAGUAGGUUGCCACGAAUGAAAUUCAAAGGAAUGGACGGGGACCCGCCCAACCGGUGGACCUUUUGGUUUAAUUGGAAGCAACGCGAAGACCCUUACAUGUUCUUGCCAUCUUCCUGACGGGCAAGUAAUGUUCCCUUUCCUUCGGGACAGGGAUGCCAGGUGCGCCAUGGUGGUGUUCGGCUCGUGUCUCGGGAUGUAGGGUUAAGUCCCCCAACGAGGGCAACCCCUAUCUCUUGUAGCCGCCGGUUGGGCCGGGCACUCUAGAGAGACUGCCAGGGAUAACCUGGAGGAAGGUGGGGAUGACGUCACAUCAUCAUGCCCCUUAUGAUCAGGGCUACACACGUGCUACAAUGGCGUAAACAAAGGGAGGCGGACCCGCGAGGUGGAGCAAAUCCCAAAAAUAACGUCUCAGUUCGGAUUGCAGUCUGCAACUCGACUACAUGAAGCUGGAAUCGCUAGUAAUCGCGAAUCAGAAUGUCGCGGUGAAUACGUUCCCGGGUCUUGCACU
rnacentral:rRNA from 1 species